rnacentral:rRNA from 1 species
UAGGGAAUCUUCGGCAAUGGGGGGAACCCUGAUCGAGCAACGCCGCGUGAGUGAAGAAGGUUUUCGGAUCGUAAAGCUCUGUUGUUAAGGAAGAACGAGUGUGAGAAUGGAAAGUUCAUACUGUGACGGUACUUAACCAGAAAGGGACGGCUAACUACGUGCCAGCAGCCGCGGUAAUACGUAGGGGGCUAGCGUUGUCCGGAAUCACUGGGCGUAAAGGGUUCGCAGGCGGAAAUGCAAGUCAGGUGUAAAAGGCAGUAGCUUAACUACUGUAAGCAUUUGAAACUGCAUAUCUUGAGAAGAGUAGAGGUAAGUGGAAUUUUUAGUGUAGCGGUGAAAUGCGUAGAUAUUAAAAAGAAUACCGGUGGCGAAGGCGACUUACUGGGCUCAUUCUGACGCUGAGGAACGAAAGCGUGGGUAGCAAACAGG